GAUCCGCGCGCCUGUUUACCCAAUUCUAACUCCAUAUUUUCUAAAUUGAGCGACUGUGCUGAGCCGUUCACUUCUUCAUCUCCAUCUGACAUCCGCAAGAACUUGCAACUCUGCUGCGGCAACAUGCUUCCAAAGUGAGAAAUGGGCUCAAAUGGAUGACAUUAAUGGAGCACUAAAGUUGGGCAGCAAGUUGAAAAAUAAAGAAAAAUCCUAUAUAACGAGUAUGGGCGAUUUUCUCUAUAUCCAACCCUCAGAACUGAAGUUCCCAUAUGAAUUGAGAAAGCAGAGUUCAUUUUCAGUGCAGUUCACUAAUAAGAGUAAUCAGUACCUUGCUUUCAAGGUCAAAACAACCAGCCCAGAGAGGUACUGUGUUCGACCAAAUGUCGGUAUCUAUUUAUAAUGCAAGCACACAAAGAGGCGCUCGAUGAUAUGCAGGGCAAGGACAAGUUUCUAAUCCAGAGUGUUGUUGCUCCCAGUGGCACAACAAAGAAAGAUAUAGAACAUCUUCAUCACCUGAGGCUGUAAGUUCUUAGUGCAUUCCUUCCCCAUCUACUCAACCUUGGGAACAAAUGUUUCACUGUCUACGAAUUUAUUAGGUAACGAGAUUGUUAGACAAAUCCAAUGGGAAAUUAUCAUCAUCCAGGUGAGCAAUUAUUUUUGUGAUGUCUCAUUCCAAAUUCUGCAGUUAUGUUGAUAAAUAAUUAUGCUAUAAAAAGUAUGAAGUCCAUGAAUAGUUCAGGUCGUAUCAGAUGUAAAGCACCUUGUUAUGUAUUAGUGAUUUUUAUAGUUCUUGCAAUGAUAUUUUGUCAUUCUAAGAUGCAAUAAGUAACUUCUUUCUUCUUUUUUCUUUU